AGUGGAAUCGCUGGGUCAUAUGGCAAACUCAUGUUUAACUUUUUAAGAAACUGCCAAACUGUUUUCAAAAGUGACUCUGUCAUUUCUCUUUCCCAUCAGCAAU
rnacentral:pre_miRNA from 1 species